GAAUAAUGUAAUUAAGGAUCUUAUUAAUAAUAAAAUUAAGGAUCUUAUGAAUAAUGUAAUUAAGAAUCUUAUGAAUAAUGUAAUUAAGGAUCUUCUGCAUAAUGUAAUUAAGGAUCUUCUGAAUAAUGUAAUUAAGGAUCUUCUGAAUAAUGUUUAUCUGUUUAGUUCCAUCUGAGUGAACAGCAUGGUCUUCAGAAGUAGUUCUUGGUUCUGGUGGGUUAAUAAAAAAAAUUCUGUACUGAAUAAACGAGACAAAUGUUUCAAACAUCAACG
rnacentral:lncRNA from 1 species